AACGAACGCUGGCGGCAUGCCUAACACAUGCAAGUCGAACGAGAUCUUCGGGUCUAGUGGCGCACGGGUGCGUAACGCGUGGGAAUCUGCCCUUUGGUUCGGAAUAACAGUUGGAAACGACUGCUAAUACCGGAUGAUGACGAAAGUCCAAAGAUUUAUCGCCAGAGGAUGAGCCCGCGUAGGAUUAGCUAGUUGGUGUGGUAAAGGCGCACCAAGGCGACGAUCCUUAGCUGGUCUGAGAGGAUGAUCAGCAGCACUGGGACUGAGACACGGCCCAGACGCCUACGGGAGGCAGCAGUGGGGAAUAUUGGACAAUGGGCGAAAGCCUGGUCCAGCAAUGCCGCGUGAGUGAUGAAGGCCUUAGGGUUGUAAAGCUCUUUUACCCGGGAUGAUAAUGACAGUACCGGGAGAAUAAGCUCCGGCUAACUCCGUGCCAGCCGCCGCAGUAA
rnacentral:rRNA from 1 species